UGGGGAAUUUUGGACAAUGGGGGAAACCCUGAUCCAGCCAUUCCGCGUGUGUGAAGAAGGCCUUCGGGUUGUAAAGCACUUUUGGCGGGAAAGAAACGGCGUCGACUAAUACUCGGCGUAACUGACGGUACCCGCAGAAUAAGCACCGGCUAACUACGUGCCAGCAGCCGCGGUAAUACGUAGGGUGCAAGCGUUAAUCGGAAUUACUGGGCGUAAAGCGUGCGCAGGCGGUUCGGAAAGAAAGAUGUGAAAUCCCAGGGCUCAACCUUGGAACUGCAUUUUUAACUACCGGACUAGAGUAUGUCAGAGGGGGGUGGAAUUCCACGUGUAGCAGUGAAAUGCGUAGAUAUGUGGAGGAACACCGAUGGCGAAGGCAGCCCCCUGGGAUAAUACUGACGCUCAUGCACGAAAGCGUGGGGAGCAAACA
rnacentral:rRNA from 1 species